GUCCACGCCCUAAACGAUGAUCACUCGAUGUGUGCGAUAUACAGUACGCGUCAAAGCGAAAGCGUUAAGUGAUCCACCUGGGGAGUACGGUCGCAAGAUUGAAACUCAAAGGAAUUGACGGGGGCCCGCACAAGCGGAGGAGCAUGUGGUUUAAUUCGAUGAUACGCGAGGAACCUUACCCGGGCUUGAAAGUUAGUGAAGGAUUCAGAAAUGAGUCCGUCCGCAAGGACACGAAACUAGGUGCUGCAUGGCUGUCGU
rnacentral:rRNA from 1 species